rnacentral:tRNA from 1 species
UGGCUGAGUGGUAAAGUACUUGGCUUCCAAACAGGGGGCCUGGGUUUGAAUCCCAG